UACGUAGGGGGCAAGCGUUGUCCGGAAUCAUUGGGCGUAAAGAGCGUGUAGGCGGCUCUCUAAGUCUGCUGUGAAAGUCCAGGGCUCAACCCUGGAAGGCCGGUGGAAACUGUCGGGCUAGAGUCCGGAGGAGGCGAGUGGAAUUCCCGGUGUAGCGGUGAAAUGCGCAGAUAUCGGGAGGAACACCAAUGGCGAAGGCAGCUCGCUGGGACGGUACUGACGCUGAGACGCGAAAGCGUGGGGAGCGAACAGG
rnacentral:rRNA from 1 species